UUAUAUUUUAAUACUCAACAAGACCCAUGAACCAUUUCCUGAAUCAGUCACGUGGUACGGCUGGUUUGCGAGGCUUUGAACGUCAUCACAUACGUCAUCAACACAAGCCUCGAUACGCGCUUCAUAAAAAUCUUCCUGGAUUACUCGACCCAAGCUUCGAAGCCUCGACGCGAACGUCACAUCACUAAGUGCAGAGCUCCCACAGUCACGUGUCUGUAAGGAGGAGGAGCUUCUCUCUGAGCAGCAGCUCUGUCUCCAGGAGAGGAAGCCCAGUCUGGACCAAGAGGACCCAGAUCCUCCAGAGAUUAAA